CCUCUUUCCCUUCCAGAGUCACGGUCUGGCAAUGUGGUUGUCGGUUGUCAGUAGCAUGGAUGGACAUUACAUCGUGCAAAACGCCCAGGGGUUCAUCAGCCGACUCCAGCGGCACUCCUGGCAAAGUUGGCUCUGCAUGAUAAUAAUGAGCAGCUGCCCGCGGGGCCAUAUUCUGCCGGAGCUGAUUCCAGUUCUUGCGGCUCCGGUUUUGGGUGCACUCCCGGGCCAUGUGCCCCCAUUGCUUACAG